UGCUUAUCAAGAAAGACUGAGGGACGGGCCCGAUGACGUCUUAGCAACCUCUAGCAAGGUGCUAAUUCCCAUUUUCUACUAAUCCUUAUAGGAGAAAAUAGAGAUGAGCG
rnacentral:ncRNA from 2 species